AUAAAAUUUUUAUGUUUUAAAAAAUUUAUUAUGAAUUUAUUUUACAUAUAAAUUUUAGUAUAUAAUUUUAAUUAUUUAAAUAAUAAUUAAUUAAAAAUUAUAGUAAUUAAAAUUAAAAAUUUAAGAAAUUAAGAUUUAGUAAUAUAAAAAUUAAUAACUAAUUUUGUGCCAGCAGUUGCGGUUAUACAAAAAUUAAAUUAAAUUGUUUCAGUUUUUAAUAAAUAAAAUAUAAAAUUAAAAUAAAUAUUAAAUUAUUAAGUGAAAUUUUAAUUUAAUUAAAUUUUAAAAUAAUUUUAUGAUUUAAUAAAUUUAAUAAUAAACUAGGAUUAGAUACCCUAUUAUUAAAAAUUUAAUUUAUAAUACUAAAAUAGUAAAUAAAAAAUAUUGAAACUUAAAUAAUAUGGCGGUAUUUUAGUUCAUUUAGAGGAAUCUGUCUAAUAAUUGAUAAUCCACGAAUAAAUUUACUUAAUUUAAAAUUUUAUAUAUCGUUGUUAAAAAAAUAUUUUAUAAUAAAAAUAAUAUUUAAGAUUUUAUAAAUAAAAUUAAUUCAGAUCAAGAUAUAGAUUAUAAUUAAGAAUAUGAUGGAUUACAAUAAAAUAAUUUAAAUGAAUAAUUUGAUUUUAAUUUUAAUUUGAAGGUGGAUUUAAAUGUAAUUUUGAUUAGUUUAUUAAAAUGAUUAAAAAUUGAAAUAUGUACAUAUUGCCCGUCACUUUCAUUUAAAAAUUGAAAUAAGUCGUAACAAAGUAGAGGUACUGGAAAGUGUUUCUAGAAAGAA
rnacentral:ncRNA from 1 species